GAAACGAUGAUUAAAACCUGAUAACACCAUUUGGUUACAUGAGCAGAUGGUCAAAGAUUUAUCGGCAAAGGAUGGGCCUGCGUCUGAUUAGCUAGUUGGUAAGGUAACGGCUUACCAAGGCGACGAUCAGUAGCCGACCUGAGAGGGUGAACGGCCACAUUGGAACUGAGACACGGUCCAAACUCCUACGGGAGGCAGCAGUGGGGAAUAUUGCACAAUGGGCGAAAGCCUGAUGCAGCAACGCCGCGUGAAGGAAGAAGGCCUUCGGGUCGUAAACUUCUGUCCUUGGGGAAGAAGAACUGACGGUACCCAAGGAGGAAGCCCCGGCUAACUACGUGCCAGCAGCCGCGGUAAUACGUAGGGGGCAAGCGUUAUCCGGAAUUAUUGGGCGUAAAGAGUACGUAGGUGGCAACCUAAGCGCAGGGUUUAAGGCAAUGGCUCAACCAUUGUUCGCCCUGCGAACUGGGAUGCUUGAGUGCAGGAGAGGAAAGCGGAAUUCCUAGUGUAGCGGUGAAAUGCGUAGAUAUUAGGAGGAACACCAGUGGCGAAGGCGGCUUUCUGGACUGUAACUGACACUGAGGUACGAAAGCGUGGGGAGCAAACAGGAUUAGAUACCCUGGUAGUCC
rnacentral:rRNA from 1 species